rnacentral:rRNA from 1 species
GAUGAACGCUAGCGAUAGGCCUAACACAUGCAAGUCGAGGGGCGUCACGGAGUAGCAAUACUUUGGUGGCGACCGGCGCACGGGUGAGUAACGCGUAUGCAAUCUACCUACAACAGGGGGAUAACCCGGAGAAGUACGGACUAAUACCGCAUAACACAGGGGUCCCGCAUGCGAAUAUUUGUUAAAGAUUUAUCGGUUGUAGAUGAGCAUGCGUUCCAUUAGGUAGUUGGUGAGGUAACGGCCCACCAAGCCUGCGAUGGAGAGGGGAACUGAGAGGUUUGUCCCACACACUGGAACUGAGACACGGACCAGACUCCUACGGGAGGCAGCAGUGAGGAAUAUUGGUCAAUGGGCGAGAGCCUGAACCAGCCAAAUCGCGUGAAGGAAGACUGCCUUAUGGGUUGUAAACUUCUUUUGUACAGGAAUAAAAAGAGGGACGUGUCCUUCAUUGCAUGUACUGUACGAAUAAGCAUCGGCUAACUCCGUGCCAGCAGCCGCCGUAA